rnacentral:rRNA from 1 species
AUGAAGUCAGAUCUAGGUGAUUUCUUGGAACAACUGAACCUGGAUGAGGAAGAAUUCGAUGACUUGGUUAUCGAUGAGGAUGAUCCUGAGAUCAACGAAAGUGUUAGAUGGCUUGCCCUAGCUAGGGUUCAUACGGACAAGUCCUUCAGCCAAACAGCUUUCUACAGGGAGAUGCGCGCGGCGUGGAACACAGCCCAGCCGGUUAGGUUCAGUCCGGUUGGACCGAAUCUGUUUGUCGUGCAAGCUUCAUGCCUAGGGGAUUGGGAGCGCAUGCUCGAUCAAGGUCCGUGGUUGUUCAGGUAUAUGCUCGUGUUGAUGUGUCCAUAUGAUGGUUUCACCAAAGCCGAGGAGGUACCAAUGUUGUUCAUGCCAAUCUGGCUACAAAUCCAUAAACUACCAGAUGGGUUCUGCAAGCAGAAUAUUGUGCAACAUCUGCUCAAGAACUCGGGUAAGAUCUUGGAGAUGAGACUCAAUGGGAAUACCAGAGGAGAUUAUGUCAGAGUUAGGAUCCGCCAUGACGUUCGCCAGCCUCUUACUAAAUUUGUCAGGAUUGUUCGAGGCCAAGAACGGCAGGUGUUCCUGGUUCGAUAUGAGAAACUGGCUUGA